AGAAUCCAGCACAAAGUAAACUCUAAGUGGGUAUGAAUCAGUGAAUGAAGAAUGAAUGAAUGAUCAGUCAAAGAGUGAGUCAUUCUGUCAACACAGCUGUCCAGAUGUCAUGUGGAGGAGACUCCCCAGGAUGAAAUCAUGUGAUUCAGAAGUUUUUCCAAGGAAAGUGUGGUUUUUGCUUGACUAGUGAAGGGCAGGGAAGAUAGAACCUGAACUUAGCAUGCCAUCUGCUCUGAGACAGGGACAGAAAGUCAGAGAGAGAAAAAUGGAAAGCUACUAUUCAACAAUGACUGCCAUUGUAACACUUGGGGUGUCAAUCACCCUUCCAGACUACCUAACUGAAUGUUGUAGUACUCCUGACAAGAAUAAAAACCGUGUAUCCUCUAAAUGCUUUAACAACAACACUAACAACAACAAAUACUUUCAAGAAACCCCAAUCUCCACUUUAAUAACUUUCCCAUGCCUGAUUACUCUGUUUGAACUUAUAAGUGUCUUCAUGUUGGAGGUAGCGCCACUGGACAUCAAUAUCAAAAGCUGAUGAGUGAUUUCCACCUGUGAGGCUCUUCCAGAAAGCAAGGAGACAUGUAGGUUCUCACUUCAGGCCAGAGCAGCUGUUUCUAACCCAGACCUGUUAUUAGCAACAACUGAAGACCUGCUUUAUUGCCAGUGCAGGUUAGAUCUUAUGGAUCAUCAUAGAUGAGUUACAAACCCACAACACUGGUGCCAAAAGGAUACAUCAGAUGCAAGCCACUGGAGCCUUUUGCCUGAAGAAGUCAGAAUGGUGAAAGGUCUUGCCCAGGACCACACAGCUGUUUGGUCCCAAUCACCAGGCCAAGCCAAACCUGCCCUAGGGCUUCUGACCACCCACCAGAAGGAUCAAAGCUGGGCUCCAGUUGGUAUUGAGCAAUGUGGAGAUGAAUUAAUUUAAUGGGAGUAAAGUUUGCCAUAAAAAAAAACCAAGUAGAAAUGCUUAUUAGGCUCAUACUUUAUUUUCAGAAAUCCAUUCAAUAGGGCUUCAUAUUAUAUCAUCUACAUUUGGGGACUACAAAGCAUAGUCCAGAUUAAAGCAUACUUCUCUAGACAUGGCACAAAAAUAGGGUCAAGAAACAAGAAAAAGUCCAUGAAGUUAGAAGUCAGAUUCAUGGUUUGACAAAGCAAAGCCCCUUUACCAUCAAUCACCUUCUAUCAAAUCCUAAACCAGGUUCUUCAUUUACACUGAAUGUAAAUAUCUUUUUUUUUAAGUUUUUUAAUUAGGUAUUUUCCUCGUUUACAUUUUCAAUGCUAUCCCAAAGGUCCCCCAUACCCACCCACCCCCACUCCCCUACCCACCCACUCCCCCUUUUUGGCCCUGGCGUUCCCCUGUACUGGGGCAUAUAAAGUUUGCAAGUCCAAUGGGCCUCUCUUUGCAGUGAUGGCCGACUAGGCCAUCUUUUGAUGAAUGUAAAUGUCUUAACAGCAAAUUGCCAUUUGUGAGUCCAAGUGUGCAGUCAUUAUGGUGGAGUUUCGAUGACUGGCUCAUCACAAAGAGGAGACACCACAUCUGACAAGAAGAGAAGCUUCCCCAUCAAAGCAGCAUCUGCCCCCCAAAAUGUCAGCAGUGCAGAGGUUGAGGAAAGACAGUCUGAGGUUGGGCAAGCUCUUAGCAUGAAUCGUCAGAUGAGCACCUUGAGAGGAAUCUGACAUUUACAGAGCUUAGUACUAAAUUUUUCCCCAGAAAGGCAGAUAAAGACCCAAGUAUGCUAAUGGCUAAGCUCUUUCCCCCAAUCUACAAGCAUCAUGAGCAUCCUGGCACCAUGCUUGUAGGAUGCUUAGUACGUGCCUUCAUCAAAUAUUAUAUCCUUUCAAAAAUCUUGGGACAGGAAGCAUCCUCAUGAAUAGGAGAUCAUUUCUCAAGGCUGAGCUGAUAGUAAGAAUAAGACUCCCACUUAAGCCUGCCCUUUUUCCAGAAACAACACUGCCCCCAGACAUUUCUACCCAGGUUAAGAUAUCCAUACAUAUCCCCCUUGAAGCCUGGUGAUGUGUUACUUUAUAUAGCAAAAGAAACUUGCAGAUGUCAUUAAAUCAAAGACUUUGAGAUGGAGAUGUUAACUGGAAUAGCAUGUGGACCUAACACAUCACAGGAUCCUUCUAAAGGAGGAGAGUCAGAGCUUGGCCAUGAAACAUGAGCAUGGAAGGAGUCCAGGAAGAAGGGCUAGCAGCCAAUGAACAGUUCUCAAAAGACAGCAGAAAAG
rnacentral:lncRNA from 1 species